AAAGAAGUUCGAGCAGUCGCUCCGGUUAUGUGCGAGCAUGGCCGGGGAGGAAAGUCCGGGCACCACAGAACAGGAUACCCUGUGUUAAACAGGGGUUCCGCAUUGCGGAAACGGAAAGUGCCACAGAGAAUAGACCGCCCUGUCCCGGUCAGACGGGAUGGAGUGAGAUGUGAAAAGGUGGGGUAAGAGCCCACCGUCCAUAGGGGUAACCUGAGGAGCCGGUAAACCCUAUCCGGUGCAAGACCAAGCAGAGUGGGUCUGUCGUGCAAUGCACGGCAGAGAGGGCUGUUCGUCCUCAAUCCUCUCGGGUAGGUCGCGUAGAUAAAUGGCUGCUUCUCAUGCCCUGUGCAUGAAAGACAAAACCCGGCUUACAGAACUUCUUUCCUU
rnacentral:RNase_P_RNA from 1 species